CAUUCGAUAAAUGUAUUCCUUAAAAACUACUGCAUUUACAACGAUGAUUUUAUUUUUUAUUUCAGUGGACCUAAUGUUUUCCCUGUAUAGACCGCAUCGACCAGGCCGGGGACCAGGCCAGACCUGGCCAAAACAGAACAGACGCCUCCGCCGUUGCCGCCGCCUUUGGCUCGUUGAGCGUCUUGGGAGGCAGACAUAAAUGUUGGACAUUAACGGCUAAUUUUUGGGGGGGUGCACUUGCAUCCUGCAUUCACAAGGAAGAAAAUAAAGGAAAGAAUUUAACGUAAAGCUUUAAAGUGGAAUAUAGUGAGGAGAAAGAGGAAAAACCAAUCCGAAUGGAAAUCCAUUAGCGGCGAACAAAUUUGUAAUUUCCGCUGCUGGGCACACGCACAUCGCAGGACAUCGAGGAUAUAAAGGACACAGCUGGACACUGCUCGCCACCCCCCGCUACAUGGCUGCUUUUGAGGUGUGUUCGGUCAGGACACGCGAGCUGAAGGAAUCCAGCUUUAAGCGAGAUUUGGCGCCCCUUUUUCGGAGUCCUGCAACUUUUUAAUGAAAUUCCAUAAACCGGUAAUCAAAAUCCAGCACCCGGAUGACCAGAAAUAUGCCCAGCACUUGUCGCCGGCGACAAGAUUGCCCGGAAGUUGUAAAUUAUGCAGGCUCCUCACACCUCACACAUAUUUUACUUUACUGACCCCCCCCAGGGCUGGCUUCAAAGUUUAGAUUGAGUAAGUAAAGUAGAGAUUAAAGAGGUAGUAUAAAUUUUAAAACUAUUUAAAUAGUAAAUAUUAAAAAUUAAGUGCUACUUAAAGAGCUCAACGACUUUGAUAAAAAUAUU